rnacentral:rRNA from 1 species
GACGAACGCUGGCGGCGUGCUUAACACAUGCAAGUCGAACGGAAAGGCCCUGCUUUUGUGGGGUGCUCGAGUGGCGAACGGGUGAGUAACACGUGAGUAACCUGCCCUUGACUUUGGGAUAACUUCAGGAAACUGGGGCUAAUACCGGAUAGGAGCUCCUGCUGCAUGGUGGGGGUUGGAAAGUUUCGGCGGUUGGGGAUGGACUCGCGGCUUAUCAGCUUGUUGGUGGGGUAGUGGCUUACCAAGGCUUUGACGGGUAGCCGGCCUGAGAGGGUGACCGGCCACAUUGGGACUGAGGUACGGCCGAGACUCUUACGGGGGGCAGCAGGGGGGAAUGUGGCACAAGGGGCGGAGGCCUGAUGCAGCAACGCCGCGUGGGGGAGGGCGGCUUUCGGGGUGAAACCCGCUUUCGCCUGUGACGAAGGGUGAGUGACGGUAAGGGGUAAAGAAGCACCGGCUAACUACG